UGGGUGCAAUCUUUCGUGUCCUGGUCCUUA
rnacentral:piRNA from 1 species